UACGUAGGGGGCGAGCGUUGUUCGGAAUUACUGGGCGUAAAGCGCACGUAGGCGGCUUUGUAAGUUAGAGGUGAAAGCCCGGGGCUCAACUCCGGAAUUGCCUUUAAGACUGCAUCGCUAGAAUUGUGGAGAGGUAAGUGGAAUUCCGAGUGUAGAGGUGAAAUUCGUAGAUAUUCGGAAGAACACCAGUGGCGAAGGCGACUUACUGGACACAUAUUGACGCUGAGGUGCGAAAGCGUGGGGAGCAAACAGG
rnacentral:rRNA from 1 species